AUGUCGAUAUCCUCGAGCUCCAACAAGACGCUGCCCUACUCGGCGGACGGUGGCAGCUACAGCACCCACGACACGCUCGCCCUCCUCGUCAUCGGCUUCAGCGUCACCGCCGUCUGUGUCUUCAUAAUCGCCCUAUUCGAUUGCCUGUGCUGCCGCCCGCGCCGCGCUGGCGGCCGCAGGAUCGUCUUCGUGGGCGCCCGGCCGUUCUUGGUGCGUGCCGGCGGCGAUGGUGGGCUGAGCCCCACGGCCGUGGCCGCGCUGCCGUCGUUCUUGUACCACAGAGGCGUGGCCGUCCGCGGCAACGACGGUCCGGACGGUCGUGGCGAAGGCAGCGGCGGCGGCCGCGGGUGGGCGCAGUGCGCGGUGUGCCUCAGCCUGGUGAAGGAAGGGGAGGUGGUGAGGCAGCUGCCGGCGUGCAUGCACCUGUUCCAUGUAGGCUGCGUCGACACCUGGUUGCACUCCCACUCCACUUGCCCUCUGUGCAGGGCCACGGUAGAGCCCCCUUCGAAAGACCAGGUGCCUCCUGUGUGA
rnacentral:rRNA from 1 species